CAAAAUAGACAGGAAAAAGAAUAGUGAAAUAGCUGACCCUAGAACCAGAGGCGACGCUACACCUGUGGUGGCUGAGGUAACUGCAGCACUGCCGACAUUAGCGGCAGAAACCUUUAUUUUCACGGUGCAUGCAUUUGAGUUCUGGCUGGGCAGCUCCUUCUUGUCAUAAACACCGGGAGAGGAGCACUUGUAGCAGUAUGUUGCUGCAUUCUCCGGCAGAUGUUCUACACUGAACGUGCGGCGCCCGUUUUCUGUCUCGAGCUUGGCAGACGGCAACUCUUCUGACAGCUUCAAAGAUUUGUGACAAUAUUCAUCGAAGAUCUCUGUCGCGCUUUCUGGCGUCAAGUUGUCAAUGCCGGUGUCGCAUUGGAACGAAGCGAUCUUGGAUUCGUUGGUAAUCUCCAGCUCCAUGGUCUUCCUUGCAGCUGUGCAGGCUGCAGACAAUUGAGGGACGUGCCAUGGGGCUCAGUGACGAACAGGAUUUCACAACGACACAGAAUGCACUGGAGACACGGGUCUUCAUUUUAUCGGCGCGGUCAAUAGAAAGGGAUCGCAAUGUGCCCUUUUGUUUUAGCUGGGUCAGCUGCGGGGUUCCUCUGGCUUCACCUAGCACCAGGCGGAUACUUCGUCGGUAACAGUUUAUUUGGUAAGACGACAGUCCAUAAUCUCUAAUAUUAGUGGUAUUUGAAAGCCCACACGCCGGAGAUAUUCGUAUGUUUGGGGCUGAUGUACCACCUCGAAACGAGGCGUUCAUUUUUGUGCUUGUACGAAGACAGAUGUGCGUGAUGUCGGCUCCCACAAGGCUUCCGCGAACAGUCAAAGACUCGAGAAUCACAAGUGUCGGGCUUACUGUUGGCAUUUUGAUCAGCGGGAACUGUCACUGUGACGAUGCAUUUCUCUGUAGGUACGGUUUCAGGGACAGGAGGUUUAGACAGAUCCGAGCCUGGUUCAGCGUGUCCCGCUGUACUCGAAGAUUCCGUUGUGGAGGCACAGCCGAAGUAGAUUGUCGUCAUUCGCUCAGGGAGCUUUUUCAGUGUUAAAAAUACUUGAGCUUUGUUUGGAUGGGCUUGAAGUUGUGGCAUUUCUUAGAGAGACGUCUCGGCCUCUUCCGCCUGUGCUUAGACUGGUGACAGUAGCUUUCGACCCUGCGCCGAAAAGCUCCCCCAACGCCUUGUCUUCCUGGAGUUCUUUCUCCAUGUAACAAUGAGUAAG
rnacentral:lncRNA from 1 species